CCUACGGGGGGCAGCAGUGGGGAAUAUUGCACAAUGGGGGAAACCCUGAUGCAGCGACGCCGCGUGAGUGAAGAAGUAUUUCGGUACGUAAAGCUCUAUCAGCAGGGAAGAAAAUGACGGUACCUGACUAAGAAGCCCCGGCUAACUACGUGCCAGCAGCCGCGGUAAUACGUAGGGGGCAAGCGUUAUCCGGAUUUACUGGGUGUAAAGGGAGCGUAGACGGCAGCGCAAGUCUGGAGUGAAAUCCCAUGGCUUAACCAUGGAACUGCUUUGGAAACUGUGCAGCGAGAGUGCAGGAGAGGUAAGCGGAAUUCCUAGUGUAGCGGUGAAAUGCGUAGAUAUUAGGAGGAACACCAGUGGCGAAGGCGGCUUACUGGACUGUAACUGACGUUGAGGCUCGAAAGCGUGGGGAGCAAACAGGAUUAGAUACCCUAGUAGUC
rnacentral:rRNA from 1 species